UGNNNAGUCGAGCGANCAGACGAGGAGCUUGCUCCUCUGACGUUAGCGGCGGACGGGUGAGUAACACGUGGAUAACCUACCUAUAAGACUGGGAUAACUUCGGGAAACCGGAGCUAAUACCGGAUAAUAUAUUGAACCGCAUGGUUCAAUAGUGAAAGACGGUUUUGCUGUCACUUAUAGAUGGAUCCGCGCCGCAUUAGCUAGUUGGUAAGGUAACGGCUUACCAAGGCAACGAUGCGUAGCCGACCUGAGAGGGUGAUCGGCCACACUGGAACUGAGACACGGUCCAGACUCCUACGGGAGGCAGCAGUAGGGAAUCUUCCGCAAUGGGCGAAAGCCUGACGGAGCAACGCCGCGUGAGUGAUGAAGGUCUUCGGAUCGUAAAACUCUGUUAUUAGGGAAGAACAAAUGUGUAAGUAACUAUGCACGUCUUGACGGUACCUAAUCAGAAAGCCACGGCUAACUACGUGCCAGCAGCCGCGGUAAUACGUAGGUGGCAAGCGUUAUCCGGAAUUAUUGGGCGUAAAGCGCGCGUANGCGGUUUUUUAAGUCUGAUGUGAAAGCCCACGGCUCAACCGUGGAGGGUCAUUGGAAACUGGAAAACUUGAGUGCAGAAGAGGAAAGUGGAAUUCCAUGUGUAGCGGUGAAAUGCGCAGAGAUAUGGAGGAACACCAGUGGCGAANNNGACUUUCUGGUCUGUAACUGACGCUGAUGUGCGAAAGCGUGGGGAUCAAACNGGAUUANAUACCCUGGUAGUCCACGCCGUA
rnacentral:rRNA from 1 species